AUUGAACGCUGGCGGCGUGCUUAACACAUGCAAGUCGAUCGGUAACGCGGGGGCAACCCUGGCGACGAGAGGCGGACGGGUGAGGAACGCUUGGGAAUCUGCCCAUCAGCGGGGGACAACCCGGGGAAACUCGGGCUAAUACCGCAUCCGCUCCACGGAGGAAAGCAGGGGACCGCAAGGCCUUGCACUGAUGGAUGAGCCCAAGUCGGAUUAGCUAGUUGGCGGGGUAACGGCCCAACAAGGCGACGAUCCGUAGCUGGUCUGAGAGGACGAUCAGCCACACUGGGACUGAGACACGGCCCAGACUCCUACGGGAGGCAGCAGUGGGGAAUAUUGGACAAUGGGGGCAACCCUGAUCCAGCGACGCCGCGUGGGUGAAGAAGGCCUGCGGGUUGUAAAGCCCUUUCGAUGGGGACGAAAGCUAUCGACCUAACACGUCGGUAGUCUGACUUAACCCAUAUAAGAAGCACCGGCUAACUCCGUGCCAGCCGCCGCCGUAACAC
rnacentral:rRNA from 1 species